rnacentral:rRNA from 1 species
GACGUAGGGUGCAAGCGUUGUCCGGAUUUAUUGGGCGUAAAGAGUUCGUAGGCGGUUGCCUAAGUCUGAUGUUAAAGCCUGGCGCUCAACGCCAGCAUGGCAUUGGAACUGGGCAGCUAGAGUGUGGAUAGAGGUCGACGGGAAUUCCUGGUGUAGCGGUGAAAUGCGUAGAUAUCAGGAGGAACACCGGUGGCGAAAGCGCGUGACUGGGCCACAACUGACGCUGAGGCGCGAAAGCGUGGGGAGCGAACAGG